CAACAAUGGGCAACAUGCACAGUUAGGUCUCUGCGUCAUUCAUUCUACGUAAAAUCUGGAAAUUAUUUGGUGUAUUUAACUUUGCAGUGAAGUGAAAAGUGUAAUAAGAUCAUUACAUAGGAUUUUAGGACUAUCGCCUGAACGAGGAAUUGAAGUGUAAGAACUUAGCACAUAAUUUGCAAAGUGAAGCCAUUGAUAGACCAUCAUAAUUUACACAGGUAACCGUGAAGCAAUAUUUUUUUUGUUCGUAUACAGCGUCAGUUUUAUGCACCGAAACGAUUCAGACUUCCCAGAGUCUGGUAAAGAAUCGCUACCUCCGUUCCACAUGCAAGUGUGAUGUUAUGUAUAAAUUUUAUCUCAAUAAAGUUAACUAAAAAUUUAA